GAAAUUUGUAGGACACAUAUUCUUAAAAUAGCAAGAAUUAAUGAAAGCAUAGGUUGAAGCAUGAGUUGGCUAAGUUAGGACACGUAAUCUGUUGCACGUUCAAACUCCUGCCCUUCUGAUGUUUUGCAAUUUUCCCAAUUCAACCUCAUCUUUUUGGUCUAUUUAUCUCUUGUGCUCAUCUUUUUGAUCUAUUUAUCUCUUGUGCUCCUACACAGCUUGAAUUUACAAAACUUUUCAUGUAUGUGCUUCCAUAGGUCAAUCGAUGUUUUAUUUGGUGUUACUGGGCCCUUCCUCACUCCUUACAUCUAGGACAAUGACAGAGUUGAAGCUUAAGAGUAGGACAUAAAAUCUGUUUUGUGUACACACUCCCGUCUUCUGAUGUUGAUAUAAAUCAUUUUUCCCACUUCGACCUCAUUGGUUUGGUCUAUUUCUCUCUCAUUUUCCUACAGCUUGAAUUUACUCAACUUUUCAUAUCUGUGCCUUCUAUAGGUCAAUUUAUUUGGUG
rnacentral:misc_RNA from 1 species